rnacentral:rRNA from 1 species
AGCUCCAAUAGCGUAUAUUAAAGUUGCUGCAGUUAAAAAGCUCGUAGUUGGAUCUCGGGGUACCUGGUCUAGCCGGUAUAGCUCACGCUAAAACUGGUCUGACCCCCCAACGUGAGGUAUUCGUCUCCGGGUGCACUUCAUUGGGUGCUCGUGAGGGGCCUCGUAGUUACUGUGAAAAAAUUAGAGUGUUCAAAGCAGGCUCAUAUGUUCGGAUAGUCGUGCAUGGAAUAACUAAAUACGUACCGGGGGCUUUCCGUUGGGUCCGGGGACUUGGUAAAUGGAUAAGAGGGACUUCCGGGGGCAUUGGUAUGGCGGGGUUAGAGGUGAAAUUCUUGGAUCCUCGCCAGACCAACAAAAGCGAAAGCAUUUGCCAAGAAUGUCUUCA